rnacentral:tRNA from 1 species
GGAGAAGUGGCUGAGUGGUUGAAAGCGGCACCCUGCUAAGGUGUUGUAGGGUUUAUAACUCUACCGAGGGUUCGAAUCCCUCCUUCUCCA